rnacentral:rRNA from 1 species
UGGGGAAUAUUGCACAAUGGGCGCAAGCCUGAUGCAGCCAUGCCGCGUGUGUGAAGAAGGCCUUCGGUUGUAAAGCACUUUCAGCGAGGAGGAAGGUGGUGAGCUUAAUACGCUCAUCAAUUGACGUUACUCGCAGAAGAAGCACCGGCUAACUCCGUGCCAGCAGCCGCGGUAAUACGGAGGGUGCAAGCGUUAAUCGGAAUUACUGGGCGUAAAGCGCACGCAGGCGGUUUGUUAAGUCAGAUGUGAAAUCCCCGGGGCUCAACCUGGGAACUGCAUUUGAAACUGGCAAGCUAGAGUCUCGUAGAGGGGGGCUAGAAUUCCAGGUGUAGCGGUGAAAUGCGUAGAGAUCUGGAGGAAUACCGGUGGCGAAAGGCGGCCCCCCUGGACGAAGACUGACGCUCAGGUGCGAAAAGGCGUGGGGG